CUAUUUAUUUAUUUAUUUAUUAUUUUUUUAAUGGACAUGGCCAUGUACUGUAACCUAUGUGCCUUUAGUGUUUAUUACUGCACUGUCUAACAACUAACAUGAUUAACAGUGAUGGUCUAUGAUGGGUCGAGGGAGGCGUCUGGCCCUUGGCAUCUUUGUCCUGCUGGUGGUCGACGUCAUUUGGGUGGCUUCAUCAGAAUUGUCGGAGUAUAUCUUCAAUGAUACCGGCUUCAAUAAACCUUUUUUCAGUACAUACUUAAAGACCAGUAUGUUUUCACUAUAUUUGCUGGGAUUUAUAUUUUGGAGCCCCUGGAGACACCAAUGUGCCCAAAGAAACCACGAUGAGAGUAUUUACCAGGUAAGUUAUUUAUUGCAAUUCAUAUUAGAUUAUUUUUUUGAUAUUUUUUAUAUGUGAUAUGGAAAUAAAUUUAUUUUAGGGUAAUUGUGUUGCUCUUUUUUCUGUGUUAACUAGACUUGAGUCAUGCUAUACAUACUGUAGAAUAUUUACUGAUUACAAAAGGCAUUGGUUAUUCCUUUUAUUUCCAAGGCCUCCAGACCACCAUUUUAUUUCAUAACUUUGCCUUCUCUUUCCCCCUUAUCCCCUUCACUUCCUCUUGUGCUGAAUAGAAUCAUCUGGCAUUAGCCAAAUGAAAUAUUUAAGAGACAAUGAAGGGGUUAAUACAGUAAAACCUUUAUCGUUUAUCAAUCAAUACUUUACAAAUUGGCUAGUUCAUACAUGCAGUUCAAUGUGUGUUAUGUUCACCAAAAAUUAAAUAUUUUACACUUCCAUCAAUAUUGCAAAAUAUAAAAUUAAAAAUAUAAGAAAAUGUGUUCAACAAAAAACAAUAGCAAAGCAAGUAGUGAUGUACAGUAUGUUCAUUGUACAGCCCAUUCUUCCUGCAUCACCUGAAGAGGCACUGGGAGGGAGUGUAUAUUAAUAUGAAGUGAAAAAUGUAUUGUCAAAGCACUUGGUCAGUAAUGUGUCCAAAUUUAAGCUUUCUAGCUCAAAAAUUUCCAUAAAUAACAUCCAGACAACAUUAAGUGUUGAGUUGAGUAUGCUUCUAAUAUUCUCUUGCUAUUACAGGAAGUGGAUUCAAUGGAGGAUGAAGAUUUACCGCUGUCAGAUGUUUGGUAUGUUGAAUUGUACUUGCCAUUUGUAGUUGUGAUGUAAUAAAGUAUUAUGUUGAUGGAAUUGUGAAUGGGUGCUUGUAGUACUUAAUUGUAUUAUUAACUCCUUCACUUCAGUGUUCAAAUUAUGCAAAGUAUAAAUAGAUUUUGCGCCUUAAUCCUUACAAUAAUUUUGUGUCAUUUAUAUUAAGGUGAUACAGCAAUUAUUAAAGCAUAAUAUUUCAUAGCUAAAUAGAGUAAUUUCUUAUUGCUGGCUUUGUUCCAACAAUUUCAGAAAGAGACUCAAUUAUAGCCUCAAAUCUGGUGUAAAAGCAUGUUGUUGAUAAGCCUCCAAACUCCUCAUUGCUCAUGCCCCUCAUUGUUAUCUCUACCAUUAGCAUUGGGGAGUUCUGAUGGUCAGUCGUCAUUGUUAUUGUCACUGCUGUCGAUACCUUUCUUUUCUAUAUCUCUAAAUUAGGUGUAAAUUAAUGUAAAAAUAACAGUAAAUUUAUUGUGUGGCAGUUGUGGUAAGACUGGUGGAGGAGUGUGGUGUUUUUUUUUAUGAGGGAAAGACAAUUGUUUGAAGACCGGGUUGGGCAAAGUGUUUUAUAACCAUUUUCCACGUUUGUGUGGAUUAGCCGUGAUUAUCUGAUGGCAACUUUCCAUUCUACAGUCUUUUGCAUUCCCUCUUGUCAGGUUCUUAACUCUUAAUGUCAUUUCUUACAACCUCUCCCCAUGUCAUUCUUGGCUCUUCUCCCCCCACAUUUAGACUCAUACACCUCUUGACCUAAUUAGUGUGAUUCAUUCUCCAAAAUUCCAAACCAUCUCAGCAUACUGCUACACAGAAUUUUGCCAAUAGAACUCAAUACCAGCCACCCUCUUACCUCUGAAAAGGAUUUUUUGUCUUUCAGUGCCACAUUGCAUAUCCACCUCACUAGUCUCAUUUAACUUGAUGGAUAAAUGUAUUGCAACUGCAUAGGUUGUAGUAGAGUGGUGUGGUCCAAAAUUGUUUGGGUACACCUGUUUAAAAUUUGCAUGACAGGAGAAAUUAUGUAUUAAUGAAUAUAUGUAGCACAUAGUGAAAAGUGUUCACUUACUUAAAAAUUUCUUCUAUACAAAAGUCUAUUCAGUAUACAGACUGCAUAUAGUGAGGGAUAUCUAUACUUAAACACUUGUCAAAAGGUUACUUUUAACAAGUUUUAUGAACAAUCUGAAACCCAGAGAAUACAUUAAUUCUUUAGAAGUUGCUAUUUUGCAUGACCUGGCAUUUUCUGAGAACGCAGCUACUGCACUGUGUGGAGUUUUACUGUGCUCAGAAACCUUCACCUAUGUCAUUGAUGAGGACCUCAGAUGACUACGUACCUGAGGCUGAUUACCCCCAUUUUGUUAUUUAUUUUUUUCCCAAGUUUUUAUCCAUUUUAUUAUUAUUAUUUUUUACAGGGAUUAGCCCACCCGGGCACAGGUCACUGACCCACAUCGGGGCCUGGGGGCGAAAAUGUCAGGAAAUCUUAAUCAAAUUUAUGGAAAAUAUUUUUUAAUGUUUUACCAAUAAUUAUCAGGGUUUAUACUGAUUAUUGUAAUGUAUAUUAUAGAAGUAUUUAUUUUUAUUACUCUUCUUAUUAAUAUGAAGCUCUUGCAGACGAGAGACAGGCGCACCCCUCCACCUGUGCCCAUCUUCACUUUGGACCAGCUGGCAUCUAGUGUUGCGAGAGACAGUGAUGCGAAUGCUCAACUGACACAUUUGGUCCUGUGGCACUAUUUACCCAUUCAACAAGCUAGAACGAUUUAUAACAACAAUGAUGAAAAGAGUGAACCAAAGUAUGUUCCUCUGAAACUACAAGAAUUGCAAGAAAAAAGCUCUGAUGGAGAAUCUGAUGACUCUUCAGUAAAGUCCGUCCGCUUCAGCAAAUUGACAGAGGUAUGUAGUGAUGCUUCUUUUAAGAGAAUACCAGUAACUAUUUAAAUUUAAAGGUAAGUCUAGAUUGUUGGGAAUGUAAUUACUGAAAGUGAAGAUCUUCAACAAAUUCUUUAUGUCCAGGGCUUAGUUUUGGAAUUUCUGUAGUUCAAGACAGAGUUAAUAUGAUUUAAAUCAGAGUGAAAAAAUCAUGAUUAGAUUUUAUUUUACUUAUUUUUUUUAUACUAAUAAUAGAAACUAUAUUUUCCCUUGAGAUUCUUUGUGGUAGUAUAGCUACAGUUGAUAUAAUUCAGCUCCCCACUAACUUGAAUAAUUGAUGCAGAGCUCUUCCGGGAAUGAGAGAUUUCCCGGUAAUGAUACAAAUUUCUCAAACCCGGAAAAUUCAACAUUCCUGGAAUUUUUUAUUGGUAAAAGAAUACUACUUCGCUAUUCGCAACCCCAUUCUCAUGGUGGGAGGCUACUGUCUUGCCUUUCAAGAAGACUUGAAAAGAGGCUCUUUGCCCUCGAGAAUAUUGCCCCAUAGUUCUUAUCUCCUGUAUCUGCAAGCUGUUUGAAAAGAUGGUCAAGUCUCGAUUAGUAUACUACCUGGGGAAGAAUGCCCUUCUUUCACCAUAUUAAUCUGGCUUCCGGAUGAUGCUGCAACAACAGAUGCUCUUGUUUGUAUUGAGUCCUCGGUCUGUGAGUCCUUUGCUCAUUGCCAACAUCUCAUCUGUAUUUAUUCGACCUAGAGAAAGCAUAUGACACAGCUUGGAGAUUCGGCAUCUUUAAGGACCUUCAAAAUUUUGGCUUGCAGGGAAAUUUACCAUCAAUAAUAGGUCAGUUCUUGGGCUGUUGGACUUUUAGGGUCCACAUUGCCACAGAAAUGUCAGCACCACAUAUUCAGGACCAUUGCAAUAAAUGGGGUAACAGCUUCUCAUUGUAUGUAGACAACUUGGCCACUUGGUAUGCAGCUUCCCGCAAGUUAGUGGCUGAACGUCACAUGCAACUUGCACUAGAUAAGGCUUUUCAUUGGACCACAGAGCAUGGUUUCAA